rnacentral:tRNA from 1 species
CGUCGGCCGGGAUGCGGCCGCGCGUCGACACGUUGUGACCGUUGCGACGAGCCCAUUCGCGGAUUGCCGCGCUCUGUUCGCGGUCGAUGGC